rnacentral:lncRNA from 1 species
UUUUCAUCUAUCUUUGUGUUUUCUCCUCUCCAUUGAUGCCGCUUCGAUUCUUUGAGGUAUGUUUAAGCUGGAAGAGGAAGAGAUGUCAGUCCCACAUUUUGAGUUUGCUGCUGGUGAAGGAUCUCAACCAGUGGAAGAAAAUGCUAAUGCUGUUGAUGCACCAAUAGUUGAUGAUCCGCCAUCAGUAAGGUUCACUUGGAAAAUAGAGAAUUUCUCAAAAUUCAACCAGAGCUCCUUCGUCUCCCUAUCGUUCUCACCCAGAACCCUACCUGCACCGCAUCUUUUUUAGCAAAUCAACAAUGACAUCCAGCACGGAUUUUACAUCAAUAUCUGAAAACUAGGACAAAAUGCCCUAGCCACCCCUUCAGCUAUGACGGCUAGGGUUCCGGUCAUUAGUCAUCCGUUUUUCGCUUCAGAAUCCAUGGUGUUUAGACGAUUGAUACGCUUGCUAAGAAAGAAAAUGUACUCUUGAAGAAAGAUGAUGCUGAGGUACAAAGGGCAAAGGAGUUUACCAAGGCCAAAAAUAAAAGGGGUUUUACAUGAAGGUGAUGUUCUAUAUGUUUUCCCGUUUCCGAGAGUUAAUAUUCACACACCGCUCCUCUUGAUCUCUUUCUCUAUAUAUCUAUGUAUAUAUAGAGAGAGAUAGAGUGGAAAAGGGCGUGAAAAUAAGAUAUAUGUGUGGGAAUAGUGAGAGCCUUUCAUAGAAGAUUAUCCUUCAAAGCUUAUAACCAGUAUUGCAGCCAUGGAUGUUGUUGGUUCUAAUGAAACUCUGGUGAAAGUUGAGUUUUAGCGUAUGACAUGGCGAACAUGGAAGAAUCGGCGAGUGCGUGACUGACUCCUUUAUUUGCUUCCCUUCUCAAGUCCGGCAUUCGGGUUUUCUAUUCAGUUGCAGGUGAUAUAUUUCAUGCAGCACAAAACAUUGAUCAUUCCCAGGAUUUUAUAAGAAAAGUUAUAAAAGAGUGGCUGAACUGGCUCAAGAACAAUAUUGGUUAUGAUGUUGGCGCCUUGACUUUGUGAGAGCAACUAAGAGAAAUACAUUGGGUCAAAUGAUUGUCCUUUACUUUUCAUUAACUCCUCCAAAGGUCGAUUAGUUAAUCACAAACUGAAUCCAUGGGAUUUGUAUGGUUUAAAUGCUUCACCCGGUCAGCAUCUUGGCUAUUAACAAUGAGGAUAUAGAUGAGUUAGUCUCUUAUUAUUUUUCUAAACCAGAUUUCUUUAAGGCUUAUUUAUGUUGGUUAGAUGAUCUAUGUUCAGCUUUAUAUAAGUUGCAACAGUUAGAAGGAUUUUGUUCUUGAUCUGUCACCCAAAGUUAUGAUUCCUAGCAUGGAGCAAAGAAUCCGUUUUCUAAAUGAGCAGGUUGUCAUAAUUUCUACUCAAAUUAGUUAUAUUUUAAUUUUGAAUUCGGACUCAUCUUCAUUAUGUAUGCCAUUAUAGGUCUCUACAAAUAUAAUAUAAAAGAUAUUAUAAAAUUAAAUGGUAAAGCCUUUGUACAUUGUUCAACCGUUGUUUAC